rnacentral:rRNA from 1 species
AUACGGAGGGUGCAAGCGUUAAUCGGAAUUACUGGGCGUAAAGGGCGCGUAGGCGGUUCUGUAAGUCAGAUGUGAAAGCCCCGGGCUCAACCUGGGAACUGCAUUUGAAACUGGAUGACUAGAGUUUGGUAGAGGUGAGUAGAAUUCCUAGUGUAGCGGUGAAAUGCGUAGAUAUUAGGAGGAAUACCAGUGGCGAAGGCGGCUCACUGGACCAAAACUGACGCUGAGGCACGAAAGCGUGGGGAGCGAACGGGAUUAGAAACCCCAGUAGUCC